GGUUUCCUUCCGCUGGACGAGGUACAUGUACCUCGUCCAUUGGAAGGAACACCUUCCGCUUGGACAAGGUACAUGUACCUUGUCCAUUGGAAGGAAACCCUUCCGCUGGACGAGGUACACGCACCUUGUCCAUUGGAAGGAAACC
rnacentral:miRNA from 1 species